rnacentral:rRNA from 1 species
AACACUUUAUAUGCUAGAGAUGCAUGCAACUUGGGGUUAAGCGUCCUUGGGUUUGAAUAGUAUUGGAUUGGGUGACCUCCCGGGAAGUCCAAAUUCAGGAGCUU